rnacentral:lncRNA from 1 species
UGAAUAUAAGCAGGCAGAAAAACACGAAAAGGCGAGACUGGCCUAGCCUCCCAGCCUACAUCUCUUUCCCAUGCUGGACGCUUCCUGCCCUUGAACAUCAGACUCCAAGUUCUUCAGUUUUGAGACUCGGACUGGCUCUCCUUGCUCCUUCAAGCUUGCAGACAGACUAUUGUGGGACCUUGUGAUCAUAUCAAGAAACACAAAAGGUUGUUUGGAAGAAAAAUAUAUUUUAUUUUAAAAACUGGAUUCGUCCACCAGGAAAAAUGAAUAUUUACUGUGCAUCUACCAUAUACCAGAUAUAGUCGCUGUGAUGGUUAAUAUUCAGUGUCAACUUGAUUGGAUUGAAGGAUGCAAAGUAUUGUUCCUGGGUGUGUCUGUGAAGGUGUUGCCAAAGGAGAUUAACACUGGAAUCAGUGGACUGGGAAAGGCAGACCCACCCUCAAUCUGGGUGGGCACCAUCUAAUCAGCUGCCAGCACAGCCAGAAUAAAAGCAGGCAGAAGAACGUGAAGAAACUAGACUGGCUGAGUCUCCCAGCCUACAUCUUUCUCCUGUGCUGGAUGUCUCCUGCUCUCCAACAUUGGAAUCCAAGUUCUUCAGCUUUGGGACUUGGACUGGCUUCCUUGCUCCUCAGCUUACAGACGGUCUAUUGUGGGACCUACAAACUCCCCUUUAUAUAUACAUCUAUCCUAUUAGUUCUGUCCCCCUAGAGAAUCCUGACUAAUAUAGUCACCACACUGUCCAAUAUGACAGGCAGUAGUCACACGUGGCCAUUAAGAAUUUGAAAUGGCACUAGUACAAACUGAGAUAUACGGUAAGCAUAAGAUAUACACUAGAUUCUGAAAACAAAAGAAUGUGCAGGCCAGGUGCGAUGGCACACGCUUGUAAUCCCAGCACUUUGGGAGGCUGAGGCGGGCGGAUCACGAGGUCAGGAGAUCGAGACCAUCCUGGACAACAUGGUGAAACCCCGUCUCUACUAAAAAUACAAAAAUUAGCUGGGCGUGGUGGCACAUGCCUGUAAUCCCAGCUACUCGGGAGGCUGAGGCAGCAGAAUCACUUGAACCAGGGAGUCAGAAGUUGCAGUGAGCCGAGAUUGCGCCACUGCACUCCAGCCCAGGCAACAGAGCAAGACUUGUUUCAAAAAAAAAAAAAAAAAAAAGAAUGUACAAAAGAAAGUAAAGCAUCUCUAUAAUUUUUUAUAUGUAUUAUAUGUUGAGAUAAUAUUUCACAUAAAUCAGAUGAAAUAAAAUAUAUUAUUAAAAUUAAAUUCACUUUUCUUUUUACUUUGUCUUAAUGCAACUAGAAAUAUUUAAAUAUAAUGAAGGCACAGCAUACAUCUAUUGGAUAGAGCUAUUCAAUAGAGGUUUUAUU